UGCACCGUGAACAACAGUCUGUCCACUGAAGAGUCACUUGUUUCUGGUUAAACUACACAAUUUACACUAAAUAUUUAUAUUGAGCUAAUGUGGCUUGAAAUUUCAUCAAGAUUUAGAAAUUAAAAAUUAAAAAUUAAAAAUAAAUUUUUAACUUCUUAGCAUUUAAAGACAAAUAGUUGAUAUACCUUUGUUAUGAAUUAAUAAUUCGAAAAAUAAAUUGACAUCAUUUAAAAGCUGACAGGCUAAAAAACAAACAGGAUGUUUCAAUGGGAAUGAAACAAACAUUUUUGCAUCAAUGAAAGUGACACAAUUUAAAUCCAGAUGCUGACGACCCUCAAUUCUGCUUCUUCAUAUUUAGUGUAAAUCCAAACAGCAACGCUCCUGAGUUUGUGUCCCACGUCACCUUCAGUCCGCUCAGAGCAGAGGAAUCAUUUCCAUAGAGAGGAGGCUUUGCAUCGUCAGCUGAUCCUCCACUGAACUGAGAAGCUUUAUAGUCCUGUGACUCCAACUCUGCAGGACUCAGACCCGUCAGUCGACCACAACCACCAUGACUCUCAUCACCCUCCUCAUCUGGACGCUGGCCUGCUGCAGCUUCACAGGAUGCAGCGGCCAGGUGGCUGUGACUCAGCCUCCAGUCGUGACAUUUACUCCAGGAUCCACUGUCACUCUGACCUGUAAAACCAACCCCAGUGCUUAUAACGAUGGUGAUUAUGAUUAUUUGUCCUGGUACCAGCAGAAACCUGGACAGGCUCCCAAGCUUCUUAUAUACAUAGCAUCAACUCUAGAAACAGGAACUCCCUCUCGAUUCAGUGGCAGUGGCUCUGGUUCUAGCUUCACCUUAACCAUCAGUGGAGUUCAGAGUGAAGAUGCAGCAGUUUACUACUGUCAGAGCUAUCAUGAAGUAGACGGAGCAGAUGUGUUCACACAGUGAUUUACAGUCGUACAAAAACCUCCCUCAGUCAGAUGCAGAGACAUGAGCUGUUACAGCAGGAAGAGAGUGGGACACAGACCAGUGAACACAGAGACUGACAGUAACCUCACCAAGCACAACAGACACAAUCACACACUUUCACUGUUUUACUCACUACAUCACUUUAUUCCUACAAAUCAAUGAUCAGCUUUUAAUUUUUAAAUAUCUUUUAACCUCAAGCUUUGCUUAUUCUCUUAUUUUCCACAGUCAGCUCUGUAAAAUUUUACUAAGUUUGUACAAAAUAGAUUUUCUCAAGUAAAGUAUUUGCAGUAAAUAAAUUCAUGGUGUAUUUUUAGUAUAAUCAAGAAUCCUAUAUAGAGCAAGGUGAAUUCCAUAGGCUGUAGACAUCUUUAUAUAGAUUGUUUGUGGAAUCUGUCUUUGCAUUAAUGUUUUUUAAAGACAUAUAGACUGCACAUAUAUUUUUAUUGAUUGUCUAAAGGUUCUACAUAUUUUUAAAGUCUCUUCAUGAAUAUAUAAUGAAAAGAUGAUUAUAUAAUUAAAAUGUUUAAUAAAUAUAUUAU